rnacentral:rRNA from 1 species
UACGGGGGGGGCAAGCGUUGUUCGGAAUUACUGGGCGUAAAGGGCGCGUAGGCGGCCACUGCAAGUCGGUUGUGAAAUCUCCGGGCUUAACCCGGAAAGGUCAAUCGAUACUGCAGGGCUAGAGUGCAGAAGGGGCAACUGGAAUUCUCGGUGUAGCGGUGAAAUGCGUAGAUAUCAAGAGGAACACCUGCGGCGAAGGCGGGUUGCUGGGCCGACACUGACGCUGAUGCGCGAAAGCCAGGGGAGCGAACGGG